UGCAACGCAAUGGUGUGGAGGCUGACAGUCAACUGUUAAAAAAAGAGUUGGUCAGAUUAUUAAACUUACAAAAACUCCAAACAAAGCGGACAUAUUUUUUGGAUGAAAUGGCAAAAUCUAAAGGUCACACAGUGAUUCGGUUACCGCCAUACCACUGCCAAUAUAAUGCCAUUGAGAUGAUAUGGGCGCAAAUCAAAGGUUGUGCAGCCAGGCUUAACACCACUCCACCAUUUACAGCCAAUAAAAUGAUGACAUUAUUAGAAUAAUGUUGUAGUGAAGUGACUCCGGAUAAUUGGAGGAAAGUCGUAGAAAAGACUAAAAAACUUUGCUACGAUGAUUGGGAUCGAGAUGUGCGAUACGACACUCUUGAAGAUCAACCAUUAUUGAUAAAUGUAGGUGACAGCAGUUGCAGUUCAGAUUCCGAGUCUGAGACGCAAACACUCAUGUCAUUAUCAGAUUCAGAAUAAAAUACAGAGUGUAACAAAAGUAAGGAACACAUGCAAACCCUAAAGUAUUAUCACUUACCUUUGUUACACCCUUGACCUUGUGUAAGUAAAUAAAUAAAUGUUAAACA